rnacentral:rRNA from 1 species
UAUUAAUUGUACACAUAUGAUUCGAAUACUUUUUUUAAAAAAAGCAAUUAAAUUUUAGUUAUAAUACUAAAAAUUUAUAAUAUUAAAUUUUAAAUAAAGAAAAAUAUAGAAAUUAAUUUUUAUUAAUUCAUAAAUAUCUUUUGAUAAAUUGUUAAAAAUAUAAAUAUUGAAAUUUUAAAAGCGUGUUUAAUAGAUAUCUUAGUAUAUUAUAAAAAAGACGGAAUGACCGAAAAGAUAUAAAGGUAUGAUAUGUUUUAUAUCGAUCUUAAAUUUUAAAUAAUUUUUUAAUAAAGAAAUAAUAACUUUGUGAAUUGAAACAUCUAAUUAACAAAAGGAAAAAAAAUCAAUCGAGAUGUUAUUAGUAGUGUGAGCGAAAAUGAUAUAGGCUUUAAAUAUUUUGAAUGUAUUUUGUGAGUAUAGUUUAAAUUUAAUUUAAUGAAAAAUAGCCAGGGAUCAAAAAAGAUCCUAUGAAGGUCCAAAGAAGGUGUUGAGUCCUGUAAUUAAAAUAGAAUAACUAUAUUUUUUAAGUAGAUCAAGUUGAAGAACUUGUUUGAACAUAGGAAAACCAUUUUCUAAGCCUAAACAUAUAUAAUAUAUUGAUAGAGUAUAGUACCAUAAGGAACGAUGAAAAGCACCUUUAUAAACUGUUAUAUGGAGUGAAAUAGACUUGAAAUAAAGCACGUAAGAGCUAUUGGAGUAACUUUUGUUAUAACAAUGUACCUUUUGUAUAAUGGGUCGACGAGUUAAUUUAUUUAAUAAAUUUACAAUCUAAAUAGAUUUUAAAAUGUAGCGAAAGCGAGUUUGAAAUAAAGCAUUAGUUAAAUAAAUUAUCACCCGAAACUGGAUGAUCUAAUCAUGUACAGGAGAUUUUCGAAAGCUAUUUUUAGUGGCUUCAGGAUACUAAUUUAUUUAAACUAAAUAGUAAUUGGUUUAUAUUUUAGAGAUUGGGUCGUUAAACUAAAUUUAGGGGACGAGGAUAGACCGAACCCGUGUAUGUGGCAAAAUACUGGGAUGAUGCGUGAUUAGGGGUGAAAGGCCAAUCAAAUUCAGAUAUAGCUGGUUUUCUGCGAAAAUUAUUUAAGUAAUGUAUUAAAAAUUAUAUAAAUAUGGGUGUAGAGCACUUGCUGGAUGAGGGGGAAUUCAUGUAAUUCUACUGAUUUCAAUUAAACUUCGAAUACAUAUUUUAUGAAAUUUUUAGUAAGCAGAUUUAGAGUGCUAAGAUUCUAAAUCGAAAGGGAAAAAGCCCUGAUUUUCAGUUAAGGUUUUUAAAUAUAAUUCAUGGACUAAGUUUGAAUCUGUAAGGAGAGCCAAGAGGUAGGCUUAGAAUCAGCCAUCCUUUAAAGAAAGCGUCAUUGCUCAAUGGAAUAGCAUGAUUUAGACAGAAAUGUAAAGAAACUGUAGUUAUAUACCGAAACUAAAAAAUAAAAGGUAUUAUUAAAGAAGAGUUUUUAAUAAUAUUAUGUUGGUAGCAGAACGGGAAAUAGUAAAAUUAUGAAGAAAAAUCGUUAGAUUUUUUAUAGAAUUUUUUUUGAGAAUGUUGACAUGAGUAACGAAUUAAUAAUGAAACUUUGUAAAAAUAUCAUUAUCGCCGAAAAUUCAAGGUUUUCAAUGUAUAAAGGUUAACUUCAUUGAGUAAUACGGUCUCUAAGUUAAAAAUUGAAAAAUUUUGAUGAUGAGUGAUUUUGUUAAUAUUCAGAUUAUUAGUUAAGUGAAGAUUUUCAUGGCGUUGUUGUUUGAUUUAAAUGGCUUAUUAAACGAAAUAACCAUAUUAUCCAAGAAAUAUCUGACUAAAUGUAACCGUACUUAAACCGACACAGGUGAAUAGGUAGAGAAUACUAAGGCGAUUGGAAGAACAAUUUUGAAGGAACUCGGCAAAAUGAUUCCGUAACUUCGGGAGAAGGGAUACUCACAUUAAAAGUUUAUUUUGCUAAAAAAUUUAAAAUGUGAAUGUUUAGUGUAACAGAAUAGGGGUAGCGACUGUUUAAUAAAAACACAGGACUUUGCAAAAUAUUAUUAUGAUGUAUAAGGUCUGACGCCUGCCCGGUGAUGAGUAAUGAAUGAAAAGAGUGUUAUAAUGCUUGGAUUAUAAGUCUCAUUAAACGGCGGCUGUAACCCUGACGGUCCUAAGGUAGCGAAAUUCCUUGUCAAUUAAGUAUUGACCCGCAUGAAUGGCGUAACGACUUCCCCACUGUCUCCAAAAUUGAUCCAGUGAAAUUGCAUUUUACGUGAAGAUGCGUAAUAUUUAUGGCGGGACGGAAAGACCCUGUGCACCUUUACUAUAACUUUACAUUGAAGAAAGUGAAUUCGUAUAAAGAAUAAUUCGGAGUUUAUGAUCCAUUAAUGUUUCAUUCUUUGGGGAGACGUUAGUGAGAUAUGAAUUAUGAAAUUAUUAUUUUUCUAAUUUUUAAGAAAGACAGUGUAUGGUGGGUAGUUUGGCUGGGGCGGCUGCCUCCGAAAGAGUAACAGAGCGCACAAAGGUAAUUUCAAUCUAGUUUUUACUAGAAAAAGGAGUGUAAUGGCAUAAAAUUGCUUAACUGUUAGAUUUACAUAUCGAACAGAGACAUAGUGUCGUCAUAGUGAUCCGGUAACGCAGAAUGGAAUGGUUAUCGAUUAACGGAUAAAAGGUACGCCAGGGAUAACAGGCUAAUUGUCCUUGAGAGCCAUAUCGACGGGAUAGUUUGGCACCUCGAUGUCGACUUAUCAGAUCCUGGUGUAGUAGGGGAUACCAAGGGUUCGGCUGUUCGCCGAUUAAAGUGGUACAUGAGUUGGGUUUAGAACGUCGUGAGACAGUUUGUCCCUAUCUACCAUAAAUGAAAGAAAAUUGUUUAAAGCGGACUUUCGUACGAGAGGAGCAAGAAGGGAAGACCUAUUGUGAAUUUGUUGUUUUUACCAAAAGCAUGGCAAAGAAGCUACGUCUUAUUUUUAGAACUACUGAAUACAUUUUAAGUGGGAAAAUUAUUUCAAAAGCAUUUUCUAAACCAAGUUGAAGAUUACGACUAAAAUUAAUGAUUUAUAAAUUUUUAAAUGAUUUUAUAAUUAAUUUGAAUUAAUUUGAAUUAAUUUGAAUAAAUGAU